AAAGAAAUAGAAAAGAAAAAGAAGCGAAAAGCAAAAAAAUAAAAAAGAUCAAUCUUUGUAAGAAAAUGCCUUAUCUUUUUAAUUUUUUUUACUUUUUCCUUUGUUUUCGUUGAUUUUUUCUAUGAUUCUCCUUAUUUUUUUCCUAUUUUCUACGUCCUUAGAAGCCUAAUACUCUGUUUAGAUUGGGGGUACAUAGAGUUCAUAAAGAGAGGGGAGG
rnacentral:lncRNA from 1 species